GAGAGAAUUGGCGGGGGGAGAAAUGAAAACGUCAACCCAUAAGCUCCCCAGCUUGCUUCUUCCUCUUCUAUAGCCUACGCCAUUUUCAGGGGUGGCGAUGAACAGACGUACAUGUGUCCAGAUGUGUUUGGAUGGGUCAGUCCCAAUUUUUUUCUCAGACUCGCCCAAAAUUCUUGUCUGCUGCCAUUGGUCUGUGGUUCAGUGGGGCUACCUUGGAAGGUGACCCGGAAACUACAAUUAAUCCAGAAUGCAGCAGCUAGACUGGUGACUGGGAGCGGCCGCCGAGACCACAUAGCACCGGUCUUGAAAGACCUACACUGGCUCCCAGUACGUUUCCGAGCACAAUUCAAAGUGUUGGUGCUGACCUUUAAAGCCCUAAACGGCCUCGGUCCAGUAUACCUGAAGGAGCGUCUCCACCUCCAUCGUUCUGCCCGGACAUUGAGGUCCAGCGCCGAGGGCCUUCUGGCGGUUCCCUCGCUGCGAGAAGCCAAGUUACAGGGAAGCAGGCAGAGGGCCUUCUCAGUGGUGGCACCCGCCCUGUGGAACACCCUCCCACCAGGUGUCAAAGAGAACAACAACUACCAAACUUUUAGAAGACAUCUAAAGGCAGCCCUGUUUAGGGAAGCUUUUAAUGUUUAAUAGGUUGUUGUAUUUUAGUGUUUUGUUGGAAGCCACCCAGAGUGGCUGGGGGGACCCAGCCAGAUGGGUGGGGUAUAAAAAAAAAAUUAUUAUUAUUAUUAUUAUUAAGGCAUCUUAUAAGUCGCAUCCUAAAGAAAAAUAACUUCGGUAGCCGAUUCUGAACGAAGAGGUGGCUAGAAAUUGAGCAUCUUUUUCUGACAUCAUCAUCAUAAUCAUCAGAAUCAUAAGAAUAAUAAUUUAUUUAUAUCCUGCCCUCCCCAGCCGAAGCCAGGCUCAGAGCGGCUAACAACAGUAAAAGUAACACAGUUUACAUAAAAUCACAAUUAAUUGAAAUACAUUCUAAAAUCAGUUCAUUCUAAAAUCAAUUCUGUUGCAUGUCUAUCCCACCUUUGUUGCAAGGAGCUCAAUAUUCUGUGUACAGUGGUACCUCGGGUUACAAACGCUUCAGGUUACAGACUCCGCUAACCCAGAAAUAGUGCUUCAGGUUAAGAACUUUGCUUCAGGAUGAGAACAGAAAUCAUGCUCUGGCGGCGCGGCAGCAGCAGGAGGCCCCAUUAGCUAAAGUGGUGCUUCAGGUUAAGAACAGUUUCAGGUUAAGAACGGACCUCCGGAACGAAUUAAGUACUCAACCCGAGGUACCACUGUAUGGUUUUCCCCACUUUAUCCUCAUUUUACCCUCACAGCAACUCUGCAGUGUAGGUUUGGCUGCAGGAUAGGAUGGCUGGCCCAAGGUCACCCAGUCACCUUUAUGCCUCGGUGGGGAAAUUGAAUUCUGGUCUCCCAAGUCCUAUUCCAGCAUUUGAAUCACAUUGGCUGUCUCAAGCUACUCCUCUGCAAUACCUUGAGUUCUGCUAAUUCAAAAGUCAAUAUUGUGCAUGUUUGGGGUCAGGGUCGUUCAGAUAUUGGUUGGCUUCCUACUCCAACGGGCAGGAAUGGUGGGAGAUGUCGUUCAGCGGUAUCUGAAGGGCCACGAGUUCUGACCGAAACCCUCGGCAUCUAAACUAGCAAAUCUUGCUUAGAGAGUAGGCUUUUCUUGUUGGGCUCACAGAUAAACACACACGUGCGCUUGCUGGUAGCAAAGUAAUUGAGCUGUUUAUUGUAGGAUAGAGAAAAAUUCGCAUUCCAGCCUAGAGGAGGAAUAGGACGCCAUGCUUGCUCCUUCGUUCUCUCAGAGGAUAAAGACGGCGUUCCAUACUGAG
rnacentral:lncRNA from 1 species